rnacentral:lncRNA from 1 species
AUGACUUUGCCAAGGUUACAAAAUGAACAAAUGUUUGAAGAAUGUGGUAUUCAGGGGGUCUUCUGGGAGGCAAGAUGGCAGCUUAGAAGCAAAAGUCAGAGAAAAACCUUCCAUACCAAUCAAAAACAAAGAGCUUUGAGGGGGACACAAAAACAAAUUCAACAACAGGACACAGCAAGGGGACCCUCCAGCUCCAUUCAACUUAAAAGGUAUGCAGAGAAGGUAGAAUUCUCAGGUUUAAGGAAAAGAAAAAGUAUUCAUGACAGAAAAUAAAAGAUUUUUUGUAGAUCAUCAUCAUCAUCAUAAUAAUAAUAACCAUUUAUAUAAUACUAGGUGCCAGGCACUAUGUUAGUGCUUUACAAAUAUAAUUUUCUUUGAUCCUUAAAACAACAACUCUGGGUGGUAAAUGCUAUUAUGUCUCCAUUUCACAUAUAAGUUUACUGAGGCAGGGAAAGGUUAAUCCAUCUAGUAGGUGUGCCAGGCUGAAUUUAAACUCAGAUCUUGACUCUACGCCCCUCUUUCUACUGUAUCACUUAGCUGCCAAGUCUUUUGUACCUCGUUCUUUAUUCUUAAUGCAGUACUUUUUAUAUAUUUGCCACCAUCUUCAGCUAUUCUCACUUCUGAGAAACAUAAUUCACCAAUUAUAAGGGUAUAUAUUGAUUUAACUUAGAAGUUCUUAUCUAUGUCUUCAUAAUAUUUUUCUAAUUCAUCCUCUCCAGUAACAGAUGUUUAUGCAUAAACUAUAAUUAAUUUAAUGAGCAUCUUUUUUGCAAUUACUUAAUAUGAAUAUUGCAUCAUAAGAAGAACAAAUGCACUAUGAAAUAGUGCUUAUUUUUAUUACAAUUAAUUCUUAUUUCUCUUUAUUUCAUAUGAGGCCAUAGCCAGAAAAUUAAUAACCUGGUAACUGAUAAUGAAAAUCUCCAUACUUAGUCAAGAUGAUCUUUAGAAAAUAGAUGCCAUUGUCAGCACCAUGUAUAUUUAUUAAUAAAUUUUACAUAAUUAUAAAAGGUCA